rnacentral:rRNA from 1 species
GACGAACGCUGGCGGCGUGCUUAACACAUGCAAGUCGAACGGAAAGGCCCUGCUUUUGUGGGAUGCUCGAGUGGCGAACGGGUGAGUAACACGUGAGUAACCUGCCCUUGACUUUGGGAUAACUUCAGGAAACUGGGGCUAAUACCGGAUAGGAGCUCCUGCUGCAUGGUGGGGGUUGGAAAGUUUCGGCGGUUGGGGAUGGACUCGCGGCUUAUCAGCUUGUUGGUGGGGUAGUGGCUUACCAAGGCUUUGACGGGUAGCCGGCCUGAGAGGGUGACCGGCCACAUUGGGACUGAGAUACGGCCCAGAGUCCUACGGGAGGCAGCAGUGGGGAAUAUUGCACAAUGGGCGGAAGCCUGAUGCAGCAACGCCGCGUGCGGGAUGACGGCUUUCGGGUUGUAAACCGCUUUCGCCUGUGACGAAGCGUGAGUGACGGUAAUGGGUAAAGAAGCACCGGCUAACUACGUG